rnacentral:rRNA from 1 species
UACGUAGGGGGCAAGCGUUGUCCGGAUUUAUUGGGCGUAAAGAGCGUGUAGGCGGCCAUACAGGUCCGUUGUGAAAACUGGAGGCUUAACCUCCAGACGUCGAUGGAAACCGUAUGGCUAGAGUCCGGAAGAGGAGAGUGGAAUUCCUGGUGUAGCGGUGAAAUGCGCAGAUAUCAGGAAGAACACCCGUGGCGAAGGCGGCUCUCCGGGACGGUACUGACGCUGAGACGCGAAAGUGUGGGGAGCGAACAGG